AGGCCCACACACAGCUCAACAGUCCGCAAAUUGGGCUGGCUAAGGCCCAGCCCACUUACCUGACCAAACUCAUGUUGUACACGCUUUUAGGGUUUGUUGCUAAGGAGAAGAAGCCUCCAUCUCUUUUUACUCGAAAGCACUCAAUCAUUCCUUCUCCAAAAUUUGCGUUUCGAUCGAUCCCUGAGUUGAAGCCUUCAAGCAGGUGAAUUGAUCCAAAAUGUAUCUUCAGUUUUACAUUAACGAGAAUGGCGAUAAAGUUUACACUACUAAGGUAUGCUAAUCGAGGUUUUUGUUUUUCUUCUUCUUUUUCACCGGAUGUUCUAACUUAUGCAUAUAUAUAAACCUGAAAUGCAUGCUCAUACUAGAUGAAAUGAAGUUCGGAUUUAAUUGGGUGUUGGUGUCUACUAGUGGAAUCUGACCUGUCCCAAUUUUCUUCUCAGGUCUAAGACUGUAUAUAGAUUUAAUAACUUUAGAUGGUAGAUCCAUUGACACUCCUAUUUCUAUCAUAAAAAGUCAUUUCCCUGUCUGUGUGGUUCUAGGAGAAGUGUUGAUGAGGAAGUGAUCACCUAGGUUUCUUCUUUGUUCUCCAUCUCUACUUUUCUUUUAAAUCCCUGUACUGUUGCACUUUAGUGUUCUUAUUCUGCUUUUUUAAUAGGUCCUGUGAGCUUUCCAUUCUUUCUCCCUCUGACGUAAGCCUCUGUUUACUGUCCUGAUCUAUUUUCUACCUUCAUGCUUUUUCCAAACACCCUAAAGAUGAUAAUUUUGUUGCCGUCCAGUUCAGUAGCAACCUGUUUACUUAAUUUGGGGCAGUGCACCAUUAAUUCCCCCUCAAACACUGAAACAGAUGUUGACAUACUCGUCUAAUAGUUGACGUUGUUUUCAUUAAUGUAUUUGAUUUGUGAGAGAGUAUUAUCCAUGUGGCAUGGCAACCUCUGAGCUAGAUUCUGAUUGUGUGCAUAUCCUUGAUGCUUUUGCAAACAUGUCUUAUUUGUUUGGCAUGGAAUUGCAGAUAUUUUUUCUGUGGUCCGACUUCUCAUUGUCCUAACAUGAUACUGUCCAUGCUAGUAUAUUUUUCUCCUUAUACUUCUGCUCAUUUACCUUCAUGCAUCUGUGGCAUGCAGAAAGAAUCACCACUUGGAGUGAACACACAAUCUGCUCAUCCAGGUAAACUUAAAAUUUUUUGCAAGGGUAAUUACCCUUUUAUUGUCCAUCCUAAUUUCCAGUUUACUUGGGUUUUUGAAUUACUGCUGGUAAGUUUAGCAUGGGAUAAUGGAUGUUGGACUUCAUCUUUAGCUAGUUGAAGUAGCCCUCAUAUCAAGUUUUGGGUUGUAAGUAAUGGUGACAACACAUUGAAAAAACAAAGGAAAAAGGUAAAGAUGUUGAAUGCUCUACUCUAUUUACUGAUACCAGAAUGAACAAGAAGAGAAGGUGCUAAUGAUUAUUCUGGAUUAAUUUUUAUGCUUAAUUGCAUUACUGCUAUCAGUCUGUGCUCCAUGACCCAUCGACUUAUUUUCUCUGAGUUUCUUGCAUUUUGUCACUUGAUUUGGUGUGAUUAUUAUAGUUUCCAUCAUCAGCUGAAUUAUUGUCACCAAUCAUUUGAUUGCUGGGAUUUGCUAUGACACUCAUCUGUCUUUGUCAUCCAUUUCCUUUGCCUUUAAUGCAGCUCGCUUCUCCCCUGAUGAUAAAUAUUCACGGCAAAGGGUUCUUUUGAAGAAGCGCUUUGGAUUGUUGCCCACCCAAAGUCCACCCCCAAAGUACUAAAUAUUUCACUGUCUUCUUGAUGUUGAUUCGGGGCUUACCUUUGCUUCCAUGGAAGAAUGCGGGGAAGUAUUUUGGGUUUUGGUAGCUAUUCAUCUUAAUUGUUCACUAGCAGGAUGGCAACUGAUGCCGGAUCACUGAAUUGGACGGAAAAUGAGAUGAUGUCUUGAAUGCAUCUGUUUAGACCCUAGAAUGUUUUGUUGCAUUUGUACACUUUCUUAUUUUUCAUUUUUGUCUUGCAUGAAAGCAUUCUGAUUUUUUCUUGUGUGUUUUUAA